AAGCGCGACCCGCGAACGAGUUUCCAACACCCGGGCAUUCGCCCACGGCGCCGGCGCCGGCCCCAUCACAUGGGUCCUCUGCCGGCGCCCCGAACAAAACCCCGGCGCCGAACGCGCCAAGGAAAACCAAAACAUGUUGGGCGCGCUCCCGUCCGGGUUGCGUCGCCACACACGAGUCCAAAAUGACUCUCGGCAACGGAUAUCUCGGCUCUUGCAUCGAUGAAGAACGUAGCGAAAUGCGAUACUUGGUGUGAAUUGCAGAAUCCCGUGAACCAUCGAGUCUUUGAACGCAAGUUGCGCCCGAAGCCAUUAGGCCGAGGGCACGCCUGCCUGGGUGUCACUAAUCGUAUCCCCCAACCCCCAACGCACCAACGUGGCGGGGGAGGAAAAAAGUUGGCCUCCCGCGAGCUCUCGCCUCUCGGUUGGCUGAAAUAUGGGUUUGCGGCCUAGCGUAGCCGCGCGACGUACGGUGGUUGAGCGUAAUCUCGAGGCCAGUGCGCGCGUUCCUCGGCCGUGUCCGAACCCUAGACCCUUGAGCGCAACAACGCACUUCGUGAUGCGACCUCAGGUCAGGC
rnacentral:rRNA from 1 species